UACGGGGGGUGCAAGCGUUGUUCGGAAUUACUGGGCGUAAAGGGCUCGUAGGCGGCCAAUUAAGUCGGAUGUGAAAUCCCCAGGCUUAACCUGGGAACUGCAUCCGAUACUGGAUGGCUUGAGUCCGGGAGAGGGAUGCAGAAUUCCAGGUGUAGCGGUGAAAUGCGUAGAUAUCUAGAGGAAUACCGGUGGCGAAGGCGGCAUCCUGGACCGGCAUUGACGCUGAGGAGCGAAAGCGUGGGGAGCGAACAGG
rnacentral:rRNA from 1 species